rnacentral:sRNA from 1 species
AGUAAUAGUUUCAUUGGUGUUCCAAAUGGAGAAGUAGAAAUGCCACUGAAAGGAAGACGAAUAGGACCUAUUAAGCCAGCAGGACCUGUCACAGCUGUACCCUAUGAUGAUAAAAUAUUUUACAAUAGUGGGCCCAAACGAAGAUCUGGGCCAAUUAAGCCAGAAAAAAUACUAGAAUCAUCUAUUCCUAUGGAGUAUGCAAAAAUGUGGAAACCUGGAGAUGAAUGUUUUGCACUUUAUUGGGAAGACAACAAGUUUUACCGGGCAGAAGUUGAAGCCCUCCAUUCUUCGGGUAUGACAGCAGUUGUUAAAUUCAUUGACUACGGAAACUAUGAAGAGGUGCUACUGAGCAAUAUCAAGCCCAUUCAAACAGAGGCAUGGGUACGUGAUACAUAUUCUGUACAAAGGCAUAAACUAUUUUGAAGAAAAUAUAUAGCUCUAAAGAAUUAGAUAGCCUUACAAAAUGUGCAAGUGGAAUAAUAUUUUGAAUUUACUUAUAACUGGCUACCCCUAAAGUAAGAUUUUAAUUCAAUGCUUACACUGAACUACAAUAAAAAUGAAUGCAUUGAAUUACUUUUCUUGUAUAAUGUUUUGUUGUGUUACGCUUUGGAAAUAGGUGCCCUUAUUUACAGUUUGCCAAAAAUUUGUACAUGUGAAAUGGGUUUUUAUGCAUAUUUUGUUUUUUUCCCAGUUUGUUACUUUGAAUUUUACUAAAUUAUGUCCAGCAGCUGUCAAAUUCAAAUCUCUGUUGGAUGUGCAUAUAUCAUUUAUUAUUUUAGUUACAGGUAAAAUUUAAAAAAACACUUUAAGUUAUAUAUGACUUUACACUGCAUUUACUGCAUAUAUAUUGACGUAUAUAUGUACAGAUUAACUAUAAAUUAUCUGUUUGCUAAUUAUUGGAGUAGUUUUGUUACCAAAUGUUAUGUCAAAGCUGUGUGAUAACUUUGAUGAUGUAACUUAGAACUUACUGACUCAUGGAGUCCAUUUUAUAAAGAACUUAUGUGAUUUUAUAUAGAUUGAUUCUUACAUUUAGGCAAAACAGAAAUACAAGACAUUAGAAUUAGCUCUGAAGUUUUUCGUACUUCUUUCAUUUCUUUAAUUUGUGAGUAGCUGUUAAUAAAUUUAUUGUUAUAAGCCAAUAUCAACAAAUAGGUUGGUAUUUUCCUAAAAUAGCAAAAUAUUCUAGAAAAUUAUAUCAUCCAGAGUAACCUUCAUCAUUGAAGGGUACAUUGUUUUCUCAUGAACUGCUUUUAGUUUUGGUCUUUUAAAAUUUUUCUGUCAUAUCUUCAGUGGUACCCCUUCUCUACCUUCCAAAAAGAGAAAUAAAAUGACAACAGAAAAACAAAAAACCUAAUAGUAGUAAUAAUGUUUUGGGCCAUGGAUCUUUAUUUUUUGCCUUUUUGAUCUAGAGAAAUUAUUUUCUGGAUAAUUUAUUAUUCCAACUUUUACAACAUAAGAUUACUAAUGGCUCAUAUGUUUAAUUAAGAGAUCGUUUCCCUAACUCUUAUCCUCUAAACUUUAAUUGCUCUUUGCCUAACUCCAAAUCAUCAAUAUCUAAUUUACAUCUUUCUUUUCUUGGAGAAAGUUGGUGUGACUAUAUUUUUACUCUUCUGAGAGGUUCUCAUAUGAUGGCUAUUUUCAUUCUCUCUUUUCCAUUAAUACACACAUUUUAAUCUAGUUUUGAUGAUGAAAGUAAUUAUUUAUUGAAUCUGUAUUUCUAGAAGUUGAGUCCUGGUUUGCUGUUUAUUAUGUUCCCAGUUGUUUUUAGCCAUAGCAGUCAAAGAUUCAAAAUACAGUUCUUAUGUUAUUUACUUCUUACUUUUUAGAAGACUUAAUAAGAGAUUAAUUUUCUCUCCCUAAAGAAAAAUUUAGUUUUCUUACAUGGUUUCUUCUCUCCUUCCUUUUGCUGUUCCAGGGUGGCCAUAGCUGAUGAGCACAUUUCUUAUUCCUCACUGUAGCCCUUCUAUUCAGAGGUGUUUGGUCCUGAAGUGAUCAUUUUCUUUCUACAGUCAGUGACUUUUCCUAUUUCUCCCUUAAGAGUCCUCAUUGCUUUAUCCUUGAUUUUAGGUCUGUAUAAACUUAGCUGGACAAUAAAUUUAUCAGGUGUACAACUCAUUUAAUGAUUCUGUUCUGAACUACAGCAAUACUUUCAUAUUCUUGCUACUUAUUUGUGAAUAUUUAUCCUUUAUUAUGUCAUUUAUUAACCUAUUUUCUUUUUCUGCAGUCAACUUAGAAAUCUUUUAUAAAAUAUUUGAAAUACUUUACAGAAAGAAGCAGGAUAGAAUCACUAAAUCUUUUGGAGAUUCUGGUAUUUCUUUUCUCCUACUUUUAUAAUCAAGUGGUUGUUGAUGUUUUAUGAAUUUGCAUAAGUUACUAUAACAGACAUCUCUGGAUCAUGCACAUUAUGAUCAGCCUUUCUUCUUUAUCUGCAUAAAUAAUUAACUUAGUUGAGAGAAAUAUCUCCUCGAAAUAUAGAGGCCACCAGCUUAACAUAUCUCGACCUAUUUCUAUUUUAAAAGCUAUUUGUGUGCAUAUAGAUGUAAAAAAACCCUGAAGAAAUAUAGUCUGUGUUGCUGUCAGUACAUGCAAUGUAGAGUUAAUAUAGAAUUCUCUUAGCCCCUGAGAGUAUUGAAAGUGUUAACGUUGGGGUCUUUGAGUACUUUUUAAAAAUUUUGGUAAGAGGAAACUGUAACAAGUUUUAAGUCAAAAAUGUACAAAAUUAUCAAAAAACAAAACAUUCACUGUACCAAUAAGAAGGUAACUGUAACUGAUAACUCAUACUAGAAAAAUUAAAGGGCUGCAAAGCUGCAGGGAAAUGGUUAGAGAGGCCUUAGCACAAUUACACUAUGGAUUGUGGAGUUUUUAAUUUUUUAACUUGUGCACUGUAUAUGUGCACUACAAUUUUUUUUAUUGUGAAAUGGUAUUGUAUCUUUCAUUAAGAUUUAUGUUUGUAUUGCCACAAGAUUUUGGAAAACUCUUGUUUUCCUAAAUGUAGCAGUGAUCAUUUAGUGAAUAUUUUUUUAAACUAGUUUGCAGAAAAACAGUCAAAAAAGCCUGCAUAUAAGCCAAAAGCCUUUGUAAAAAAUUAGUUGCUUGUGUUGUCUUUUAAAAGUAUAAGCAUAAAUCAUUAAAUAAAAAGCAUGAUAUAUGAAGUGACUCGAUGACUAAGUUAAUAGCUUGUUGUAUGGAAAAUUAAAAUAAAAAUCAAGUUAAUACUUU